CUAGUAACAACGAACUGUGAGAAGUCAGCAGAGCCCAUAGUAGCGAAGAAGUCUCGGUAAUGGUGAUGGAGCAAAGGGG
rfam:Anaerostipes sp. 992a contig000004, whole genome shotgun sequence.